rnacentral:rRNA from 1 species
UACGUAGGGUCCGAGCGUUGUCCGGAAUUAUUGGGCGUAACGGGCUCGUAGGCGUUUCGUCACGUCGGGAGUGAAAACUCGGGGCUUAACCCCGAGCCUGCUUCCGAUACGGGCAGACUAGAGGUAGGCAGGGGAGAGCGGAACUCCUGGUGUAGCGGUGGAAUGCGCAGAUAUCAGGAAGAACACCGGUGGCGAAGGCGGCUCUCUGGGCCUUACCUGACGCUGAGGAGCGAAAGCGUGGGUAGCGAACAGG